UACGAAGGGUGCAAACGUUGCUCGGAAUUACUGGGCGUAAAGCGUGCGCAGGCGGUUAUGCGAGACAGAUGUGAAAUCCCCGGGCUUAACCUGGGAACCGCAUUUGUGACUGCAUAGCUGGAGUACGGCAGAGGGGGAUGGAAUUCCGCGUGUAGCAGUGAAAUGCGUAGAUAUGCGGAGGAACACCGAUGGCGAAGGCAGUCCCCUGGGCCUGUACUGACGCUCAUGCACGAAAGCGUGGGGAGCAAACAGG
rnacentral:rRNA from 1 species